AUUGAACGCUUGCGGCAGGCCUAACACAUGCAAGUCGAACGAGCGGCGGACGGGUGCGUAAGGUAUGGUGAUCUGCCCGCUAGAGGGGGAUAACUACUGGAAACGGUAGCUAAUACCGCAUACUAUCGGAUGAACCCAUAUGGGAUUAGCUAGUAGGUGGGGUAAAGGCUCACCAAGGCGACGAUCUCUAGCUGGUCUGAGAGGAUGAUCAGCCACACUGGGACUGAGACACGGCACAGACUCCUACGGGAGGCAGCAGUGGGGAAUAUGGCACAAUGGGCGCAAGCCUGAUGCAGCCAUGCCGCGUGUAUGAAGAAGGUCUUAGGGUUGUAAAGUACUUUCAGCGGGGAGGCGUUACCCGCAGAAGAAGCACCGGCUAACUCCGUGCCAGCAGCCGCGGUAAUAC
rnacentral:rRNA from 1 species